rnacentral:lncRNA from 1 species
CCUCUGCCUUAUGAGGACACGCAUUUCUCUCCUCCAAAACAUGCAGCCCUUACCAGUCAACUGAACCUACUGGCAACUUGAUUUUGAACUCCCCAGCCUCUACAACUAGACUGGAUCUCACUACUUGCCUAGCUCUUGAACUCCUGGCCUCAAGCAAUCCUCCUGCCUCAACCUCCCAAAGUGCUGGGAUUACAGGAGUGAGCCACUAUGCCCCACAUGUAUUCUCCCAUUUGAGAAAACAAUGAACAAAUCAGUGAGAAGAAGCAAGCAGCUUAUAUUCUUUGAUAUUCUCUGCUAUUCUGGUUUUUGGGGAAAAUAUUUCAUAAUCAGUCCUCCAAAAUUGAAGUGAUGUGAAAGAAUUGGCAGAUAUUUAAAUAAAGGACCCAUAAGUAUAAAAUAAAUGGAAACUGUAGUAAUGAGGCUAUGAAAUAUAUAAGAUGGUUUAUUCAUAGGUAAUACAGACCUUCCAGAGAAAAGUUUAUACGCCUCACAGAAAGGACAGGGACUUUGAAAUUAACAAUGAACUUCUUUAGAAAUUCUGACUUUAAUAGUUAACAUUUGUAAGACUUGAAACAAGAUAUCUUGUUUAAUAAACUCCACAAACCUCAAUUUUUUUACAAGAUGGGGAAAAUAAUGGCUACCUUAGAUGAGUAUUGUGGGGAUUAAAGUAAAUAGAUAUAAAAUAUCUAAAAGAAUGCCUGGGGCAUUGUUAGUGUUGUAAUAACUUAGUUUCAUAAAGCUCCAGUAAAUAGUCAUGUACAUAUUAUUUUUUAGAAGUAUGAAGUUCAGAAAUAUUUGUGAUCCCUUUUCUUAUUUGCAGUCUUCUCAGUACUAAAUGGAAUGACUAAGGGUAUCUUUAAUUAUUAAACAACUCCUAACCUGAAAACAAAUGGAUUACAUUGGUGGCCGACUCACAGAGAAAGUUUAUGCAGAUAGAAUCUACAUGGCCAAUUCAAAAAAAGGACACAUUUUUAGAAACGAUAUCCAGGAUGUCACAAUACCUUGUCUACACUCAUCAAUUUUAUUGUCACCUUGCCACUAUUGAGCUUAGUGUUGACACUUCCCAGAGCCCAGAAGUUGCCCCUAAAAAUUAUGAAUUCCACACUGGGAAAGCAAGGUAAAGUAAUUCUUUUGUUGGGUUAUUGAUGCUUUGGAAGGGACAUAGAGAUAUGGAUGCAUACAUAGCUCAAAAUAAAAGAGAAUUUAUUCUGGAACAUGGCCAAGAUAAGAAUGUCACCUAAGUUCACCAGGCCAUCAUUUGAGAGUAGCUUCAGCAGAUUAAUACAUCAAAAAAGCCAAUAAAACAAAACAUUGAAAUGUAAUUAUUUAUUAAAUACUUGAAGGAAUUACAGUAGUUGAGUUGAAUCAUAUUUUUUUAAAAAGAUGAAGAAGAAAAACACAGCCUUUAAAAUUUCUCUUUCGAUCCCCUUUUUCUCUUUUCCUGAAAUUCUAAACCUCAAGGAAGUUGACUUAUAAGAUGUUCCUUUUUUAAAAUCAACCCACUCUCAAAAUUCC